rnacentral:rRNA from 1 species
UACGUAGGGUGCAAGCGUUGUCCGGAAUUAUUGGGCGUAAAGAGCUCGUAGGCGGUCUGUUGCGUCGGCUGUGAAAACCCGGGGCUCAACUCCGGGCCUGCAGCCGAUACGGGCAGACUAGAGUUCGGCAGGGGAGGACUGGAAUUCCAUGGUGUAGCGGUGGAAGUGCGCAGAUAUUAGGAGGAACACCGGUGGCGAAGGCGCCACUCUGGGCCGAAACUGACGCUGAGGAGCGAAAGCAUGGGUAGCAAACAGG